GAAAAACAAAAAUUCAUAUUUUUGAGGAAAAAUAGAGGUGAUAUGAAAUAGUUUUACCUUUAAAUAUUAUUAUAGAAACAUAUAUAAAGAUGAGUUGGAGAUGCUUUAAAAAUUAAAUAUGUGAAAAAGAAUGAUUAAAAAUGAGGAUAAGAUAUAAAUAUGUGUGCAUAAAUGAAUUGAGGUAAAAAGGAGCAAAAGAUUAAAAAAAAUGAUGAAAUGGGGAAAGGGAUGUUGAGUUGGUGAGUUGCAUUAGAACACAUUGAUGGAAACAUGUCAUGAGAGCAUAUAAUAAGAUCCCCUCUAGCUAAAAUAUAAUGAGCAAUCAAUAGUAAAACAUCAUCAUUUUCAUUUUCAAGUGGAACUCAAUAUCAGAUUAUACACAUUUCAAAAUACUCUCAACUCUUGCGUUCUUAAAAAAUUUAUCGAAAGAUCGACCAAGAGAAAAAAAAAAAAAAAAAAACAGCAUAUAAUUUAGCAAAAAAAAAAAACACAGUUGUGAAUUCGGAAGAUAUGUAUACAAAGAUUUUCUUCGUAGGGGCAAUGUCAAUAUCUAUUAAAAAUUACAUUGGUUGUUUGAUUUGGUGAUAAUUGGACCAGUUGGUUUAAUAUUAAUUUGGACCAAACAUCUUACUCUUAAGCAUUAGGAAUGCGAUCUUGGUUAUAUAGUGGACCACCCCCAACUAAAAAUAGCAUAGGGCAGCAAAUGGGUUAUGCAAUGGGUAUUUUCCUUUGUCCAGAGAUUAUUAUGGUAAGCAAGACAAAAUGAGUGAGUAUGAAAAAGACAUUUGAUUUUUGUUGACAAUACAAAAAGGGAAAUAAAAGGAGCAGAGUCUAUUUCAUCAUAAUAUGUAAUGGUCCUAAUGGACAAGUUAUAAAGUCCAAUAUGUUUCAACUUUAUAUUGGCAAAUGAAA
rnacentral:lncRNA from 1 species